ensembl:lncRNA novel transcript
CCCUGUAUUAAAAAAAAAGAAAAGAAAUAGGGUCAUUGUAGAUGCAAGUAGUUAAGGAUCUUGAAAUCAUCCUGGAUUUAGGGCAGGCCCUAAGUCCAAUGACAGCUGUCCUUAUCACAAGAGGAGAGGACUCAGAAAGAAGACAAUGUGGAGUCAGGCGGAGAAUGGGGUGAGGCAUGUAAGAGCCAAGGAUCGCCCAGGAUUGCCGGCAGCCUCCAUGCGUCAGGACAGACACGCGGAACGGAUUCUCCCUCAGAGCCUCCAGAAGGACCCAGCCAUGCUGCUACUUUGAUUUUGGACUCGUGGCCUCCAGAACUGUGCGGGAAUGCAGGUUACCCCCAAGACCCUGGGGAGGCCACAAAUGUGGUAGAGGAUCGUGGGCAGUGUCUCUUCCUGACCAGCCUCUCCUCCCUGAAUCCUAGCACUGAUUGUAGAAUCCCAGCAGACCGCAAUCCUCAGCCUCAACUACACAGAGCAACCAGAGUGUGAGAUGAGGGGUGGGGAGGCUAAUGUACCUUUGUCCCCAGGGAAGGAUUAGCCACUUUUGAACUUGUCACUGUCUGACGGCCUUUGGGUCUUUCAUUUGAUUUCUGUUUCUAUUUUAUUUAUUUAUUUAUCCUAUUUUAUUUAAACUACAUCUUGGCCAGGUGCAGUGGCUCACUCCUGCAAUCCCAGCACUUUGGAAGGCCAAGGUGGGAGGAUCUCUUGAGGCCAGGAGUUUGAGACCAGCCUGGGCAA